UAAGCCAUGCGAGUCAACGUAGCAAUACGUGGCACACGGCUCAGUAACACGUAGUCAACAUAACCAGAGGACGUGGAUAAACUCGGGAAACUGAGGCUAAACCGCGAUAGACCAAGAUACCUGGAAUGGUUUUUGAUCAAAAUCUAUAUGGCCUUUGGAUUGGACUGCGACCGAUCAGGCUGUUGGUGAGGUAAUGGCCCACCAAACCUGUAACCGGUACGGGCUCUGAGAGGAGGAGCCCGGAGAUGGGCACUGAGACAAGGACCCAGGCCCUAUGGGGCGCAGCAGGCGCGAAACCUCUGCAAUAGGCGAAAGCCUGACAGGGUUAUUCUGAGUGACUUUCGCUAAGAAAGUCUUUUGACAUCUCUAAAAAUGGUGUAGAAUAAGGGGUGGGCAAGUCUGGUGUCAGCCGCCGCGGUAAUACCAGCACCCCGAGUGGUCGGGACGAUUAUUGGGCCUAAAGCAUCCGUAGCCGGUUUUACAAGUCCUCCGUUAAAUCCAACUGCUUAACAGAUGGGCCGCGGAGGAUACUAUAAGACUAGGAGGCAGGAGAGGCAAGCGGUACUCAGUGGGUAGGGGUAAAAUCCGUUGAUCCAUUGAAGACCACCAGUGGCGAAGGCGGCUUGCCAGAAUGCGCUCGACGGUGAGGGAUGAAAGCUGGGGGAGCAAACCGGAUUAGAUACCCGGGUAGUCCCAGCUGUAAACGAUGCAGACUCGGUGAUGGACUAGCUUAAUGCUAGUCCAGUGCCGCAGGGAAGCCGUUAAGUCUGCCGCCUGGGUAGUACGGUCGCAAGACUGAAACUUAAAGGAAUUGGCGGGGGAGCACCACAAGGGGU
rnacentral:rRNA from 1 species